GUGCCCUGCGUGCCACGAAAGAGCCCAGGACCCACAGGACAAAUACGUCACUGGCAGACCUGCCUUCGCCAGCGCCAGCCCAUCUCUGAAACCUCCAGCAUUUGUGCCCCGGUCCGGCCCCUCCCAGGCCUGGCUCUUUCCGUGAACGGUCACUGCGCAGGAUCAAGCUACAAUGAAGAGGAGGGAGGCAGUCUGCACGCACCGCCAUUUUCUAGGAACUGGGAAGCCCCCCCACCCCUUAGGAAGAUCCAUCCCUGUGGAACCUUGCCCAGGCUUACCAGCCUUUGCUGAGGUUGAUCUAUUGUCCCUCCUUGUCCCCAUCAAAAUAUCCAGCACUCCACCUUCAGGGAGUAGACUUGACCCUCAAAUAGCAAGUUCAGCCUUCCCAGGUCUAGGUUCCCUGGGAGGUCAAGAUUCGUCUGGUUCCUUAGUACAGAGGGCUAGCUGUGAGUUGGAAUCCCCCUAUGAGCUUUAGAAUCAGUCAAGAGGAAUUGGGCCCCUUCCCUUCAUCCCUCUUCUUUUCCCUUUUUGUCCCAGAGCUCAGCUCUGACUCAAAAGUUUUUCCAUUUACCAUCAACAUGGAAACUUGGCUCCUCACGUGGGUAUAUUAUCCCCCUUUUGUACAUGGUCUUGUUGAUCCAAACUCCCUUUCUGUGAAAGAGGCCUGUGGGGCUCAAGAAGCCUGGUCAGCCAGCCAGGCUAGUCCCACAUACCUCAGAACCAGUUUAAUAAAGGCUCUAUGUCAUUC